ensembl:lincRNA
AAGGCAUAAAACUGUAGUGCCUAUGGGCGGGGCGUGGUGGCUCAUGCCUAUAAUCCCAGCACUUUGGGAGGCCGAGGCGGGUGGAUCACUUGAGGUCAGGAGUUCAAAACCAGUCCAGCAAACAUGGUGAAUCCCCAUCUCUACUAAAAAUACAAAAAUUAGCCUGGCAUGGUGGUGUGUGCCUGUAGUCCCAGCUACUUGAGAGGCUGAGGCAGAAGAGCCAGAGAGGUGGAGACUGCAGUGAGCGGAGAUCACACCACUGCACCCCAGCCUGGGCAACAGAGUGAGACUCUGUUAAACAAACAAACAAAAACUAUCAUGUCUAUGAAGUCACAGACAAGGUCCUGUAUUUCCACAGUGUCUGGCUACCACACGCGCUCUAUUAGGGUUUGCUGUGUGUCGAAGUAAGUGCAAAAAUGAAUCAAUGAAGCAAAGUUUAAGUCAUUUUUGGGAAGAGCAGGUCAUUCAGCUGCACUGGAGAUGAGGUCCUUUUGGAAAAGGCCCUGCACUUCUGAGGCUUGAUCUGUGAUGCUGGGAGAGAUGGGACGCUGCCAGAAGGGGCUACUGGCAGGCUGCCAAGAGGCUGCCCACAGAGGCCUUUGCCCUGACAAAUUCACCCCUGGGGCCCUGAGUCUGCCCUCAGCCUGGCAGCUGGUAGAGAGGAGAUCCAGGUCCCAGCUGUGGACUCAGACGAAUCAAUUGCUCGAGAGGCCAAUAUAUACACCAGAUGAGUUGGCUGACUCAUUGGCACUUCCUACAAUCCAGUUCCUUCAUCCCCCCGCCGCCCCUGCCACAAGCUUCCUGUUGGAGUCUGGAGGACCUCAAAGAUUUCCAAAGAGGCCAGCCCUUGGGAGGCCGAGGACUUCACAGCCCGAGGGGAGAGCAAGUCGUCCAGCCGCUGAGACCCACUCAGACCACGAACAGGGCAGGUGCUCAGAGGGCUCGCCCUCUCGUCCACCCCAAACUGGCUGUUGGACAUUCUAGUGUUGACCCAGAGAAAGAAGCUGAGGCAAAAUCAAUAUAUAGGGUUAAUUUGGGCCAAGAGUGAGGACAGCCAUUGGGGACACACUUCAAGUUGCCUUGGGGUAUGCUCUGUGUUCGGCUUUUGUUACAAGCAGGCCUUUAAAGGCAAAAGGGGACAAGGAGUGGGUGAUUCAACAAUGUUCUUAUUAGUUUGCAGCAAUAACAUUGGCUUGUGAUUGGCUAGGCAUUAUUGAGCUAUGGGGUAUGAGUUACGGUGUCUGGAAUAUGGCGUUUUAUGGCUACAUGGUAUCAGUCUAGAGCCCACAUAGCAAGUGGCUUCAAGAGGUAAUUAUUUAGCUUGGUGGUCGGGGGUGGGGUGAGAUGUGACUGACUGCUGUCAUUUGCUGUUGCAUUUCUUUUUUAAGACAGAGUCUCACUCUGUUGCCCAGGCUGGAGUGCAGUGGUGCAAUCUUGGCUCAAGCGAUUCUUCUGCCUCAGCCUCCUGAGUAGUUGGGAUUACAGGUGUGUGCACCACUACACCCAGCUAAUUUUUUUUUUGAGACUGAGUCUUGCUCUGUCACCCAAACUGGAGUGCAGUGGUACGAUCUCGGCUCACUGCAACCUCUGCCUCGUGGGUUCAAGUGAUUCUCCUGCCUCAGCCUCCUGAGUAGCUGGGAUUACACAUGCACACCACCAUGCAUGGCUAAUUUUUUGUAUUUUUACUAGAGAUGGGGUUUCGCCAUGUUGGUCAGGCUGGUCUUGAACUCCUGACCUUGUGAUCUGCCCACCUGGGCCUCCCAAAAUGCUGGGAUUACAGGUGUGAGCCACUGCACCCAACCCGCUGUCACAUUUCAAUGCCUCUCUGGGCCUGAUAACGAAAGGGGGACUUGCAUUCUUCUUUUUUUUUUUCAGAUGGAGUCUCAUUCUGUCACCCAGGCUGGAGUGCAAUAGUGUGAUCUCGGCUCACUGCAACCUCUGCCUCCUGGGUUCAAGCCAUUCUUCUGCCUCAGCCUCCCGAGUAGCUGGAAUUACAGGCACCUGCCACCAUGCCCAGCUAAUUUUGUGUAUUUUUAGUAGAGACGGGGUUUCACUAUGUUGGCCAGGCUGGUCUCAAACUCCUGACCUUGUGAUCCACCCGCCUCGGCCUCCCAAAGUGCUGGGAUUACAGGCGUGAACCAUCGUGCCCAGCCUGGGACUUGCAUUCUUCAGAUAAAGUUUUUUAUUGUUGUUGUUUUGUUUUUGAGAUGGGAUCUCACUCUGCUGCCCAAGCUGGAGUGCAGUGGCACGAUCUCGACUCACUGCAGUCUCAAACUCCUGGGCUCAAGUGAUCCUCCUACCUCAGUCUUCUGAGUAGCUAGGACUACUGGUGUGCACUAUGCCAGUUAAUUUUUUAUUUAUUGUAGAGAUGGGGUCUUGUUAUGUUGUCUAAGCUGGUCUCAAACCCCUAGGCUCAAGUGAUUCUCCUGCCUCAGCCUCCCAAGGUUUUGGGACUACAGGCGUGAGUCACCACACCUAGCCAACACAACACUUCUCAUGCCAAAUGUUUGGGCUUUUCUUUUUUCUCCAUAUGCCAAGUAAUUCUGCAGCAGACACCAGUUGGGAUUCCUAUAAUUCAAUUAAAUUCUGACAUGGUCUACCUGGAGAUACAGGGGGUGAGCUCUGGAAAGGUCCUGAGCACAGGAGUGUUGGGAAUAGGCCCCCCAAAAUCUGGCUGUAAACUGGCCCCAAAACGGGCCAUAAAUAAAAUCUGCAGCACUGUGACAUGUUCAUGAUGGCCAUGACGCCCACUCUGGAAGGUUGUGGGUUUACCGGAAUGAGGGCGAGGAACACCUGGCCCACCCAGGGCAGAAAACGGCUUAAAGGCGUUCCUAAACCACAAACAACAGCAUGAGCAAUCUGUGCCUUAAGGACAUGCUCCUGCUGCCCUAGCCAGAGCCCAUCCCUUUGUUUCAGCCCAUCUCUUUGUUUCCCAUAAGGAAUACUUUUAAUCUAUAAUCUAUAGAAAUAAUGCUUAUCACUGGCUUGCUGUCAAUAAAUACGUGGGCAAAUCUCUGUUCGGGGCUCUCAGCUCUGAAGGCUGUGAGACCCCUGAUUUUCUGUUUGUGUGUGUGUCUUUAAUUCCUCUAAGGCCACUGGGUUAGGGUCUCCCCGGCUGAGCUGGUCUCAGCACAGGAGUUUCCAUCUCUGUGGAGUUGGGGUGCACCACCCUCCCAGCGCAUGGAAGUCUUCUUGUUCACCCACCUGGAAGCUCUCUGAACACUGUCCUUUUGGGUUUUGUGGGUGAUUCCUAGUCAUGAUUGAUUACAUCAUUGGCCAAACCAAAUAUGUUUAUCUUUUUUUUUUUUUUUUUUGAGACAGGGUCUGGCCCUGUUACUCAAGCUGGAGUAUAGUAGUGCGAUCUCUGCUCACUGCAAUCUCUACCUCCCAGGGUCAAGUGAUUCUGUAUUGUUAGUAGAGGCGUGUUUUUGCCAUGUUGCCCAGGCUGGUCUAGAACUCCUGAGCUCAGGCAAUCCACCUGCCUCAGCCUCCCAAAGUGCUAGGAUUAUAGGCGUGAGCCACCGUGCCCAGCCAUCCUGUUUUAUUUUCUUCUUGCAUGUAUCCUUUUCUGAAGCUUGAGCUCCAGGGCCCCUUCACUUGCACAGGCCCCUUCCGAGGGUCCGUACCUAAUUCUGUAUGACUUUCUUAAAAAGGACUCCCUUGUCCUGCCAAUCCUACCAAAAGCUUCAGACUCCAUAAAAUCUAAAUCUAUGUGUACCUAGAGCAGAGGACCAGGCUGCAAUUAGUACAUCCUGUGCCUGCCUCUGGCAGAAAGACAAACUCAGCAUUUCUCCUGCCAGGCCACUUCUACAGGCCGUUGCUCUCCCCACCUCUUCAGGCCUGAGUGCCGAGAGGCACCCUGGCCCAAGAGUCUUUGUGACUGCCCUGCUAACAGUGCCC